rnacentral:rRNA from 1 species
GAAAACGGGUGGUAAUGCCGGAUGCUCCAGUUGAUCGCAUGGUCUUCUGGGAAAGCUUUCGCGGUAUGGGAUGGGGUCGCGUCCUAUCAGCUUGACGGCGGGGUAACGGCCCACCGUGGCUUCGACGGGUAGCCGGCCUGAGAGGGCGACCGGCCACAUUGGGACUGAGAUACGGCCCAGACUCCUACGGGAGGCAGCAGUGGGGAAUAUUGCACAAUGGGCGCAAGCCUGAUGCAGCGACGCCGCGUGAGGGAUGGAGGCCUUCGGGUUGUAAACCUCUUUUAUCGGGGAGCAAGCGAGAGUGAGUUUACCCGUUGAAUAAGCACCGGCUAACUACGUGCCAGCAGCCGCGGUAAUACGUAGGGUGCAAGCGUUAUCCGGAAUUAUUGGGCGUAAAGGGCUCGUAGGCGGUUCGUCGCGUCCGGUGUGAAAGUCCAUCGCUUAACGGUGGAUCCGCGCCGGGUACGGGCGGGCUUGAGUGCGGUAGGGGAGACUGGAAUUCCCGGUGUAACGGUGGAAUGUGUAGAUAU